rnacentral:rRNA from 1 species
AUUGAACGCUGGCGGCAGGCCUAACACAUGCAAGUCGAGCGGAGCGGCGGACGGGUGAGUAAUGCCUAGGAAUAUGCCUGAUAGUGGGGGAUAACGUACGGAAACGAGCGCUAAUACCGCAUACUAUCAGAUGAGCCUCGGUGGGAUUAGCUAGUUGGUGGGGUAAAGGCCUACCAAGGCGACGAUCCGUAACUGGUCUGAGAGGAUGAUCAGUCACACUGGAACUGAGACACGGUCCAGACUCCUACGGGAGGCAGUAGUGGGGAAUAUUCGACAAUGGGCGAAAGCCUGAUCCAGCCAUGCCGCGUGUGUGAAGAAGGUUUUCGGAUUGUAAAGCUCUUUUAUUUGAGAGGCGUUACCAACAGAAUAAGCAACGGCUAACUUCGUGCCAGCAGCCGCGGUAAUAC